GACGGAAGGUGCAAGCGUUGCUCGGAAUCACUGGGCGUAAAGGGUGCGUAGGCGGCCGUGCAAGUCUGGCGUGAAAGCCCCGGGCUCAGCCCGGGAAGUGCGCUCGAAACUGCGCGGCUCGAGUGCCGGAGGGGAGAGUGGAAUUCCUGGUGUAGCGGUGAAAUGCGUAGAUAUCAGGAGGAACACCGGUGGCGAAGGCGGGUCUCUGGGCAACAACUGACGCUGAGGAGCGAAAGCGUGGGGAGCGAACAGG
rnacentral:rRNA from 1 species